UACGUAGGGGGCGAGCGUUGUCCGGAUUCAUUGGGCGUAAAGCGCGCGUAGGCGGCUCGGUAAGUCGGCCGUGAAAUCUCCGGGCUUAACCCGGAGGGGACGGGCGAGACUGGCGGGCUCGAGGCGGGUAGAGGGCAGUGGAAUUCCGGGUGUAGUGGUGGAAUGCGUAGAGAUCCGGAGGAACACCAGUGGCGAAGGCGGCUGCCUGGACCUGGCCUGACGCUGAGGCGCGAAAGCGUGGGGAGCGAUCCGG
rnacentral:rRNA from 1 species